AGCUGUAAAUAUCAACCAAAUUGUGACAGGUGUAAUUGCUUUACAAGUUUUCAUUCAACGUAAACGUCAAGCAUCAACAGAAGAUCAAGGAGAGGAUUUUUUGUGGGAACUGAUUAGUCAAGAAGAGAUUUCGGGAGUAAUAAAGAAAACAUUAGGCCUUGUUUUUUACAUUGUGAACAUCAUUGAAGAAGAAGAAAAAUUACGUUCAGUUGUCAGAUAACUCUGGUGUUCAGAUUUCUCGACAAUUAUACUCUGGAAAUGGUGUGCUACUUGCGACGGACAGCUCCAUAAAAAGUGUAUCAAUGUUAAGAACUACAUCUGGUGAGAGCAAUUGAAUCUUUCGUGUUUGGGACGUCUUAAAAUGUUCAACGGUCUAAAUAUCAAUCUACCCUAGUCAUAUAGACUUGUAGUUAUGUGCGAUUCGAAAAAUCUUCCUUUAUUCCCAUUGUGCGUAUUUCGCAUGUGACGAAUGGAUAAAACGGUGUUGAUAAGAGGGUUCCGUCUACGCAGAAAAUAUAAGUGUGCUCUGGAUUUUGACAGUAAGGAAAAGGAGGAUUAUUGGUGAGAAAAAAUUUAUAUUCUUCAUAACAUUAUUUCUAUCUUCUGUUAGUUCAUUCCUGACAGUAACGGAUAUUCAACGAUAUCCUACGGAAGUCUUAGUCACAUCCGGAAAUUUGAAUAUCCCUACGAUGCCUUUAAGAUAUCUCAGGACAUCCCUGAGACAUCCUAUGGAUAUAAUAGUUUCCUGAUAUCCUUAUGAUAUCCGUAGGAUAUCCAGAAUAUUCAGAUGCUGUUAAUAAUUAUUUUUCUUUCUACUUCACCCUCUCCAUUUCUCUCGUACAUUCUACAUAAUUUUCAAAACAUUAUUUAGGUUGUUUAAUCAAAGUUAUAAAUUAAAACAUAUAUUACUUCACUAGAAGAUUUUUUAAUUCAAGUGCAAUUGCACGUGACCUUAAUAAAUUAUCACAUGGGUAAAAAAGAACUGUAAAUCUUGCCACGCUAUUAGAAAAACAUCCAGAUAAAUCUUUUGUAUGUGUUUAAAUCAAAUGUCUAUGAUAAGUCGUGAGUAAGUUAGCUUAAUAUAUUGUUGAUAUAUUUGGAUAUAUAAUUAAACUCAAACAAUUCCAUGAGUAUAAGUCAAAAAACAAUUUUAUAAAAAGAUAAAAAAAGGGUUGUAAAUCUUACCACGCUAUUAGAAAAACAUUCAGAUGAACCUUUUGCAUGUGUUUAAUUCAAAUGUCUAUGAUAAGUCGUGAGUAAGUUAACUUAAUAAUAUUGUUGCUUUAUUUGGAAAUAUAA